UGUUCCUAUUCCUGUCCCCACCCAGGGAAGAGAGAGAGAUGGGCAGACAGUCAGUAAGCGUUCUCCUCUGAACUCAGCAGUCCUCAGUAACCUCCAGAGCCUGAGAGGCAUGCAAGGAAUCCUCUGCAGGCCCCUGGCUGGAGAGCAGGAAUCCCUGCAGGCCUCUCAACCUCCACUAUCCCAAGGCUGUUCACCUGUCUCUCACCCCCCAACUCCCCCAGGAACAAGAAGGAACAGAGCACUGUGGGAUGCAGGAGAACCAAGCAACCCCUGUCACAGUGUGUUGCACAGAGAGCUGUUUCAGGAAGCACAUCCAUUUUUAAGUUCUUUUUUGGCCAUGAACAUAUGUACACUCACUGCUUUGAGCACUGCAAACAUUUCCACUCUUUUGCCCCUCUGUGUUUCCAAACUGUCUCUGAACAAAGAGUUGUGUGAGCUUGCUAUCAUCUGAAGAACAUGUUCUUUAUAUGUUCUGACCUGUGGUGUAAAUAUUCACUUUUUGUGGCUGCUCCCUCAUGCUGCACAAUUGGUCACCAAAGUGCCAUUAUGUUCUGUUUUGUUCCUUAAGGGGUUGAUUAGCACAGUUUUUAUUCAUUUCCUGUUAACUCCUCUCCUACUGUGACUCCAUUCAGGAGAUGAGAGAAAAGAAAGCAGGGGUUACUCACCCUACUCACAUGAGCAAAGACAAGGAGGGAGAAGGAAGCAGCCUACCUACAACACACAUUUACCAGGCAGAAUAGGUACUAGAAAAAAAGGGGAGCCAUAAAUUACUUCUUUCCCUGAACAAGGAGGGAGCCUGGGAGAAAUAAUGACUCCAACCCACCCAAGCCAGAUAAUGCUCCAUUGGGCCUUAUUGUAACCAGGUAAAUUACUUUGAUGAAGGUGGCUUCAGAAGAGAGUAAUGAGAAUUGUGCUGAUAUUGUUUAACGUCAAAGCGAAUAAGGAAACCUUUUGAACCUGUGCAAAUAUUUGGAGUCGCACGUGGUUUUCAAUGAGCAGUCUCUUUUGGAGCGGCUCCUGAUGGUGAUACCAAUCAGCGACUGAUCCGUAGCCUGCACCUAGGUCAGUGCAACUGGGGCACCAGGACCACAAUGUGGAGGAUGGACCACAGAUGAUCAGCACAGGGUAAGUGCAACUAUUUUUUAUUUAUUGCUAUUGAUUUGUGUGUUUAGUUGUAGACCCAGGGCAGGGAGCCCAAGGCCUGGGGAGAAGCCCGUAUUCUGGAUGCAAGCCUCAGGCCAUCUGCUUGGGGAGGCCAGGGUCCUAGUCAGUGGCUCCUCGGCCAACCCUCUGCAACUAGAGUAGGGCAUGGCAGCACACCCAACUCAACAUGCCCAGCAGCGCCUGUCCUGAGUCACAGCGACCUUUGUGACCCACACAGAGUCACCAAGUAAGCACAGGAAAUCUGUUGAUUUCACUCCACAACCCGCCUCAAAGUGCUGAACCUACCCUGCCCAAAUCCAUUUUAUUAAGCCCACAGAGUCUGCACAGAGACAAAGCUGUAUUGCUUUUUAUAUUGUAGUGCCUGGUACUCCUAAGGCAUUAUGUUCUCUAGCAAGUCACCUUGUAAAGCUGGCCGUUUCUGGGGCAUAAGCAUCCCACUUCCAGGGGGAUAAAGGGGUUCUGAAAUGUUCAGAUCCCAUGCCACUCAAGGGACACUUGGCAU